rnacentral:rRNA from 1 species
UGGGGAAUAUUGGACAAUGGGCGAAAGCCUGAUCCAGCCAUGCCGCGUGUGUGAAGAAGGUCUUCGGAUUGUAAAGCACUUUAAGUUGGGAGGAAGGGCAUUAACCUAAUACGUUAGUGUUUUGACGUUACCGACAGAAUAAGCACCGGCUAACUCUGUGCGAGCAGCCGCGGUAAUACAGAGGGUGCAAGCGUUAAUCGGAAUUACUGGGCGUAAAGCGCGCGUAGGUGGUUUGUUAAGUUGGAUGUGAAAUCCCCGGGCUCAACCUGGGAACUGCAUUCAAAACUGACUGACUAGAGUAUGGUAGAGGGUGGUGGAAUUUCCUGUGUAGCGGUGAAAUGCGUAGAUAUAGGAAGGAACACCAGUGGCGAAGGCGACCACCUGGACUAAUACUGACACUGAGGUGCGAAAGCGUGGGGAGCAAACA